rnacentral:rRNA from 1 species
CCUACGGGGGGCUGCAGUGAGGAAUUUUCCGCAAUGGGCGCAAGCCUGACGGAGCGACGCCGCGUGAGGGAUGACGGCCUUCGGGUUGUAAACCUCUUUUAUUAGGGAAAAAGGCAAUCGUGCUAAUACCACGGUUGUUUGAUGUUACCUGUUGAAUAAGCCCCGGCUAACUACGUGCCAGCAGCCGCGGUAAUACGUAGGGGGCGAGCGUUGUCCGGAGUUACUGGGCGUAAAGAGCGUGUAGGCGGUUGGAAAAGUCAGGUGUGAAAUUCUUCGGCUCAACCGGGGGACUGCGCCUGAAACUUUCCGACUGGAGUUCGGGAGGGGCAACUGGAAUUCCUGGUGUAACGGUGAAAUGUGUAGAUAUCAGGAGGAACACCCGUGGCGAAGGCGGGUUGCUGGACCGAAACUGACGCUGAGACGCGAAAGCGUGGGUAGCAAACAGGAUUAGAUACCCCGGUAGUC